rnacentral:rRNA from 1 species
AACGGCCUACCAAAGCGACGAUCCAUAGCCGGCCUGAGAGGGUGGACGGCCACAUUGGGACUGAGACACGGCCCAGACUCCUACGGGAGGCAGCAGUGGGGAAUAUUGCACAAUGGGGGAAACCCUGAUGCAGCGACGCCGCGUGAAGGAAGAAGUAUCUCGGUAUGUAAAGCUCUAUCAGCAGGGAAGAAACUGACGGUACCUGACUAAGAAGCACCGGCUAAAUAC